rnacentral:miRNA from 1 species
GCAGCCAUGGCUGGCAGGCAGCCCAAGGGUGCAGCCACCCUCGCCAUAAUCACGUGGACCGUGGAGCUGGACUCAGAGUGCAAGUACUCACAG